rnacentral:rRNA from 1 species
GACGAACGCUGGCGGCGUGCUUAACACAUGCAAGUCGAACGGAAAGGCCCUGCUUUUGUGGGGUUCCCGGGUGCGGAUCGGGUGAGUAACAGGUGAGUAACCGGCCCUUCACUUUGGGGUAACUUAAGGUAACUGGGGCUACUACCGGACAGGAGCCCCUGCUCCAUGGAGGGGGUUGGAACGUUUCGGCGGUUGGGGUUGGAUUCGCGGCUUAUGAGCUUGUUGGUGGGGUAGUGGCUUACCAAGGCUUUGACGGGUACCCGGCCGGUGAGGUUGACCGGGGACAUUGCGACUGCGAUAGGGAGCAGACGCCUACAGGAGACAGCAGUGGGGAAUAUGGCACAAUGGGCGGGAGUCUGAGGAAGAAGCGCCGCGUGCGGGAAGACGGCCUGCUGGUAGAAAACCGCUGUCGCCUGAGACGAAGCGUGAGUGACGGUAAUGGGUAAAGAAGCACCGGCUAACUACGUG